AGGGGUAUAGUUCAGUGGUAGAGCACCCGCAUACGUCAGUUUGAGGCAGAGGGGGUUCGACUCCCUCUGCCUCCA
rnacentral:tRNA from 1 species